rnacentral:rRNA from 1 species
CAGCAGUCGCCGCGGGAAUACGUAGGUGGCAAGCGUUGUCCGGAAUUAUUGGGCGUAAAGGGCUGGCAGGCGGUUUCUUAAGUCUGAUGUGAAAGCCCCCGGCUCAACCGGGGAGGGUCAUUGGAAACUGGGAAACUUGAGUGCAGAAGAGGAGAGUGGAAUUCCACGUGUAGCGGUGAAAUGCGUAGAGAUGUGGAGGAACACCAGUGGCGAAGGCGACUCUCUGGUCUGUAACUGACGCUGAGGAGCGAAAGCGUGGGGAGCGAACAGGAUUAGAUACCCCCGUAGUCCCUGUCUCUUAUAC